CGGCAGGCCUAAUACAUGCAAGUCGAGGGGUAGAGAGAGCUUGCUUUCUUGAGACCGGCGCACGGGUGCGUAACGCGUAUGCAACCUACCUUUAUCUGGGGGAUAGCCCGGAGAAAUCCGGAUUAAUACCGCAUAAAAUCACAGAAUAGCACUAUUUAAUGAUCAAACAUUUAUGGGAUGAAGAUGGGCAUGCGUGUCAUUAGCUAGUUGGCGGGGUAACGGCCCACCAAGGCGACGAUGACUAGGGGAUCUGAGAGGAUGGCCCCCCACACUGGUACUGAGACACGGACCAGACUCCUACGGGAGGCAGCAGUAAGGAAUAUUGGUCAAUGGAGGCAACUCUGAACCAGCCAUGCCGCGUGCAGGAAGACUGCCCUAUGGGUUGUAAACUGCUUUUAUCCGGGAAUAAACCUUUCUACGUGUAGGAAGCUGAAUGUACCGGAAGAAUAAGGAUCGGCUAACUCCGUGCCAGCAGCCGCGGUAAUACGGAGGAUCCAAGCGUUAUCCGGAUUUAUUGGGUUUAAAGGGUGCGUAGGCGGCCUGUUAAGUCAGGGGUGAAAGACGGUAGCUCAACUAUCGCAGUGCCCUUGAUACUGAUGGGCUUGAAUGGACUAGAGGUAGGCGGAAUGAGACAAGUAGCGGUGAAAUGCAUAGAUAUGUCUCAGAACACCGAUUGCGAAGGCAGCUUACUAUGGUCUUAUUGACGCUGAGGCACGAAAGCGUGGGGAUCAAACAGGAUUAGAUACCCUGGUAGUCCACGCCCUAAACGAUGAACACUCGCUGUUGGCGAUACACAGUCAGCGGCUAAGCGAAAGCGUUAAGUGUUCCACCUGGGGAGUACGCCCGCAAGGGUGAAACUCAAAGGAAUUGACGGGGGCCCGCACAAGCGGAGGAGCAUGUGGUUUAAUUCGAUGAUACGCGAGGAACCUUACCCGGGCUUGAAAGUUAGUGAAUGAUCUAGAGAUAGAUCAGUGAGCAAUCACACGAAACUAGGUGCUGCAUGGCUGUCGUCAGCUCGUGCCGUGAGGUGUUGGGUUAAGUCCCGCAACGAGCGCAACCCCUAUGUUUAGUUGCCAGCAUGUAAUGAUGGGGACUCUAAACAGACUGCCUGUGCAAACAGAGAGGAAGGAGGGGACGACGUCAAGUCAUCAUGGCCCUUACGUCCGGGGCUACACACGUGCUACAAUGGAUGGUACAGAGGGCAGCUAGCUGGCAACAGUAUGCGAAUCUCACAAAGCCAUUCACAGUUCGGAUUGGGGUCUGCAACUCGACCCCAUGAAGUUGGAUUCGCUAGUAAUCGCGUAUCAGCAAUGACGCGGUGAAUACGUUCCCGGGCCUUGUACACACCGCCCGUCAAGCCAUGGAAGUUGGGGGUACCUAAAGUAUGUAACCGCAAGGAGCGUCCUAGGGUAAAACCGAUAACUGGGGCUAAG
rnacentral:rRNA from 1 species